rnacentral:lncRNA from 1 species
AUAUGACUGCGUCAGAGUAUGCCCGAAAGUUCCUAGAGUUGGGCCGGUAUUUCCUGAGAGCAUGAUGGAUAAAUGUAGAAAGGUAAGGAAGUUCGAGUGGGACAUCCAUCCUAAAGAUUAGACAACAGCUGUAUGUCUUCGAGCUCAGUAGUUACUCAGUUGUUCUGGUUAAGGUACAGCUAGUGGAGAGGAACCUUUGCAUUUUUUAUCCAGCAGUGGAGAACCUCACGCCGCAGACCAGCACCCACUGCAUUUUUUUAGUAGAAUAAGAGACCUAGGCUAAUGACUCAGGUUCCUCUUCAGAUUCCGGUAACAGGACGCGGCUUGAUAGUAUUGUGGCAAGGAUCAUGAGGACUAACCCUGCUAUCGCCUUAACAAUACUUGCCGUAUAUAUAAAAGUGCCCAACACUACGCGAGAGAGUGCCCAAGGAAUCAGAAUCAGACUAGACCUCCUAUUUAGGGUAGAGCUUACAGUUUCAUUCAGCAAGAUGCAAAAGCCAACCCAGACGUGAUACAUGGUACGUACACUAUCUGUAAUCAUUUUGCACAUGUUUUGAUUGAUACUAGUGUCUCACAUUUAUUUGUCUCACAUACUUUUACACUAAACUUGAAGGUAUUACUUGAAAAACUUAAUUCUGUAUUGUUUGUGUUUACUCCUGGGAGUAGGACGCUGCUAGAGGAGGUUAUAUACAAAUCUUGUAUCAUAAAUAUAAUAGAUAGAAAAUAUAGUGUGGACUUAAUAGAAAUUGACACGAGGGACUUUGAUGUAAUCCUAGAAAUGGACUGGCUAGCGGCGUAUUACGCCACCGUAGAUUAUUUUCACCAAAAACUUGUAUUCAACCCUAAUAAUAAAGAAUUAUUUACAAAUUAAUAAAAUUAUUAUGUAAGGAAUGAAAAUUCUACUUAUAUUAUUUUGCUUUCGCAUUUAAUUUAUAAUUUUAUUUUCUUUUAAAUUCUGAGUAUUUAUAGUUAGUAUCAGAGCCAGGUUCUUUUCCGGCUGGUGGCUCCGCUGGCUUAUCUUUGCAGCUGAGAUUUUUUCUUCAGUCAAUCUAUUUAGGCGCUCGGAGGUGGCUCUGGUAUUGCGGCGGUUAGCGAUCGGCUCCAUUCUUUGGUGACUGGUUCUUCUUCGGCGGGACGCUAGUGCCUAGAGUUUAGGUUCGGUGUGAUGCGAAAUAUUUAUACCUAUCUCGCGUUAAUCUGUAUCGUUCAUCGCGUUUAAUCUCGAUCGUUCGAUCGCAUUUAAGGAGGAAUCGAAUCUGGGCUGUUCAUCACGUUUAAUCUCGACCGUCCAAUCGUGCUUAAGGAAAAUACAGAUCCAGACUGUCCACAUGUGCGGGAUCGCUUUUGGUUCGUCCGAUCGCGAGGUACGUGAAUCGACGGCGUAACCUCACGCAUGGCACCGAGUCAGUGCGCCUUGCCAUGCGGCGUGCUUCGAUUCAUCGAGGCUGCUGACUGGGCGGUCCUAUGUGGCUAAAUUUUUCUUAUUUGGACUUUGACUCCCAGUUUUUUAUUUUUCUCUCAAAACACUAUCCGAACCCAAAUGUUUACUCUUUUUUUUUCAAAAUUAUUUUUAAUUUCAUCCUUAACCUUUUUUUUUUUUUUUUCAUAAUUUCACAUUAAAUUAAAAUUUAUUAAUUUUAAAAAUAGAUUUUUAUACAUUUUAAAAUGUUAAAAUUAAAAUCGGGCCAAAUUUCAAGGUUGGGUAUUACAACUCUUUCUCUCUUAAAAGAAAUUUGAUUCUUACACAAUAAUCUAGAAACCCAAUAGAAUUAUGAGAAUAUUUUUUCUAAAAAAAUAAAUAAAAAUUAAAGAAAUAAACGAAAAAUAAAUAACUGAGCAUUCUAUGAUGACAAUCACUAGCUUUUGAAUGGAGUUCGGGUGGUGAAUUAUUCAUAACUUUCUUGUUGAUCGCUAUUUGAAUCUUGAUUCUUUUGAUAUGAAAUAGUUAAUGAAAGGGGACCAAAAUUUAGAUCUCGGUCAAUAAGAGAGUUGUGAAUAGUUCACCACUCGGACUCUCUUCAAAAGCUAGUGAAGGUCGUCUUAGGAUACUUAAUUAUUUGUUUUUCGUUUAUUUAUUUAAUUUUCAUUUAUUUUUUUAAAAUAGAUAUUUUCGUAAUUCUAUUGGACAUUCGAAAUUAUUAUGUAAGGAAUGAAAACCUUAAUUCUAUUAUUUCGCUUUCGCAUUUAAUUUAUAAUUUUAUUUUCU